rnacentral:rRNA from 1 species
GAGGGACGAAAGCCAGGGGAGCGAACCGGAUUAGAUACCCGGGUAGUCCUGGCCGUAAACGAUGCAUACUAGGCAAUGGUGCGGCCAUGAGCCGCAUCAGUACCGUAGGGAAACCGUUAAGUGUGCCGCCUGGGAAGUACGGUCGGCAAGGGCGUAAAAACUGUGAAAGCGAACUUGGUCGGGCGGAGCACCAAACAAUGGGGUGAAGCCUGCGGUUCAAUUGGACUCAACGCCGGGAAACUUACCAGGGGAGACAGCAGAAUGACAGUCAGGUUGACGACCUUACUCGACGAGCUGAGAGGAGGUGCAUGGCCGUCGCCAGUUCGUGCUGUGAGGUAUCCUGUUAAGUCAGGCAACGAACGAGAUCCGCGCCUUUAUUUGCCAUCAAGAAGUCACGACUUCGUUGGGAACUCUAAAGGGACCGCCGUCGAUAAGACGGAGGAAGGAGCGGGCAAAGGCAGGUCAGUAUGCCCCGAAACCCCUGGGCUACACGCGGGCUGCAAUGGUGCGAACAAUGGGCUGUAACUCCGAAAGGAGAAACCAAUCCCGAAAUCGCAUCUCAGUGGGGAUUGUCGACUGUAACUCGUUGACAUGAACGUGGAAUCCCUAGUAAUCGCGUGUCACCAUCGCGCGGGAAUACGACUCUGCUCUGCACUCACGCGCCGUCAA